UCCAGUUCCAGUUCCAGCCAGACUCGGAGCACACCAAUGUCUCGUCUCAUCCCCCGGCGGCUCCACCGCGCAGUCUCUGCCGGCGGCGCGACCUUCUCCUCCUCGAGACCCUCCUCAAAUCUCCGCAGCAGCGACCCCACCACCGCCGCCACCUCGAAUGCGAUCGUCAGCCUCGUCGCGGCAGGCGGCGAUGGCGGCAGCCUGGAGGCGGACCUGGACCGCCUCGGCCCGCCCCUCUCCGACGCCGCUGUGUCGGCGGCGCUCCGCGCGCUCACGGAGCGCGGCGUCCCCUCGUUCCGCUUCUUCGCCUGGCUCUCCCGGCACAGGGGCGUCCCCCCGAGCGCCCGCGCCCACAACCUGCUCGUCCAGAACGCCGGCAGGCUGGCCGACUACCCCGCCAUGGCCCGCGCCCUCGGGCAAGCGUCGGCGCGGCGGCUCUCCCUUACCGAGCAAGCGUUCGCGUUCCUGGAGGCCGCGGCGAGGUCGUCGAGCAGCGUGGAUGACGCGGUGAGGGCGACUCUGACGACUCUGGACGGUGUUGGCGGCCCGUGCCGCGCGUCCGGCGUGUUCUCGCUGGUCAAGGCGUUGGCCUCGAUCGGCGAGCUCGACGCGGCCGUGUGGGUGAUCGAGGAGACGGCGAGGAGGGCGAGCUACUACAACGUCCUCUUGGCUGCCAAGUGCAAGGCCGGCGACUUCCGGGGCGCCCACGAGCUGUUCGACGAAAUGAGGAAGGGGAGCUGCGGCCCGAAUGCCAACUCCUGGAACUACCUCCUCGGGUGCCUGCUGAAGAAUGGCAGGGCUACCGAAGCGUGCGACCUUGUUGAGACCAUGGAGAGGUCGGACCACGACGACAUCCCGAACUCACUGACGUACGAGAUCCUCACAUACCAUGCCUGCAAGGCGGGGAAGAUGGAUUCGGCAAGGCAGAUUCUCGAUCAGUUGUUCUCAGAAAAUCUGACGCCGAGGAUUACAAUCCACACAGCCUUCAUCAAAGGGUACUUCUAUGCUGGGAGAAUUGACGAUGCUUGCGAUUAUGUGAGGGCUAUGAGCACCAGGGAUUCACACUCCACGAACAGGAACUACAGCCUGCUCGCCAAGCUGUUGCACAGGUCGGGGAGGAUCGUCGAGGCUGGAAGUGUCCUGUAUGAGUUGAUGGAGAAGGGCCUCAGGCCUGACCAUUCUGCUUAUGUUACAGUGUCCAAAGGUUUGCACAAGAUGGGAAGGGGAGAUCUGUGUGCUGAACUGAAGUCCUUGUUUCAGAAAUUCAUUGCACAGUCAGGUAGCUGGUAGCGAGAAUCAAUGGCACCCGCUGGUGCUACUCAAGCCAGGAACUGUCGAUGAUGCUCCGGCUUCUCCAGCUGCUCAAGCCGUGGUUUGGCAGCCUCCACCCGCUCCUGCAGUUUCGGAUGGUGCUGAGCACCUCCUCCAAGGCCCUGAACACCUAGGAGGAGGACGUCCAGAUGGUUCAUGGAGCACACUUGAGCCCACUUUGGCCGACAACAUGGUUGGCGGAAACCAGAUGCUUACCAGUUCCUCCAAAAGCUUCCCUGGGCACGUAAUUCGUGAACCUCCCCGCAGAUUAAUGGCGUCCAUGCCACGGUCCCAGCUGCUGCUGCUCGUAUCGCAGCAGGGGAAACGACCCUAGAACUAUCUUGGGAGAUCAAGAAUGUUUCCUAAGCACCGGACUCAUGAACCCGGACAUCCUUCUGGAAGAAAGGCGCAGCCUGCAAGAUCCUGAUACGGUGGGCUGGAAUCAAGAUCUCGGCUGUUGCGUAGUACUACCACUGUCAUAAAUAGGGGUAUUCAUUUUGUAUGCUGCUCCAGUCGAAUUGGUCAAGAAAUGUGCACGUUCAAAACAAAGGUGUGCUGUGUUAUUGAACUUUGCUGCUUUGCAUCGCACUCCUAGAUGUUUGUUGACCAUUACCGGAUCAAUAUCAUAUCAAACUUGUAAGGCUGUAACUCACAUAUGUUCUCUGUAAAUCAGCCUGGGUAAAAGAGGAUCAGUGAUGUGGGUGAUGGCCCGAUGGAUGUGCCUAUGUGAAGCUCUUAACUUUCA